AAGAUCCUGGGUUCAAAAACCAGCACAGGGAAAAAAGAAAAGGAGAUGUGGAGCUUCUCCCAAGGCCACAGGGGACACAGGGAAGCUCUGAGGCCCUGGGAAGAACAAACCAAGGGAAAGAAGGAAGCUGGGAGGCUGGAGGGGAAGGAGGGGUCCUGAGGAGAGGACGGGGCCCCAGCAGAGGAAGGGAUUUCUAGCCGACUCCAAAGCCACCACCAAAGGUCUGUCCUUUCUCCGACUCUCCCUGUCCCCAGAGUCCAAGCCAGAGACAGAUUACACACAAAUAUCUUUUAUUCCAAUUACAGAGAUGCCAUGGAUAUCGUCACAGUUGAAAGCACAAGAGGAUUGUGGUCAAGAAGGCACAGAAAGAAGGGGCAUAGCCACCAGCAGUUGCUG